CUCGAGAAGUUGUAUCUAAGUAACGACAAUCUGGCGUUGUAGCUUUGUUUGUUAUGAGACUGUGAGCGUUUCAGGGAAUUGUUUGUCAAGCGUAUAAACCUAGCCUGGUUAUUUGAGCGUGUGUGAGAUUUGUAAACAGAAUGAAAUCCGCUAAGAACACUAAAGUGAAACCUGCAGUAUCAUCUAAAGAAGAAGAGUGCGGAAUAUGGCUCGACACAAAAGAGUUAAAAGAAAAGAAACAGCAGAAACAACUGACCCGUCCAAUAUCCAAAUUACUGAACCCACUUGCGAGAUCAGGGGAAUACAGUGUGGCAGUGGCACUGAGCUUCACUCAGACCAAACUCAACAUGCCUAUCACUAGACAAAGCACAAUAUCAAAUUUAUUUUCACCCAAGUCCAGAGACCCUAACCCUAGUGUGGCUCAUUCUGGGAUGUCCAGCUUCAUGCACACAGAGCACGCACCGGGGCCAAACGGAAACAUGUGUCUUUGGAGCCAUCUACAGA